AGUUCUAAGGUUUCUUGGCAUAUAAAAGUGGGUGGUAAUGCUGACGGCUCAAAUAACUUUGACGAACUAAGCUUUAGUAAAACAUGUAUGGCUUACAAAUAAAUGAUCUGAUGGGGCUUGAAUAUUUCCUGCCCUCGAAGGCUGUUUACCAAUCAGCGUGAAGCUCCCCGCCGCUUCCAUAUAACAUGUGAGAAUGACCGAACGAAGGCCACUCGUCUAUCUACUGUCACCUGCGUGCAAGGCAGCUGCUUUCUAUGGAAACAGAAGUCGCCGCAAUACAGCCUUCUCAGGCUCACUCAGAACACUGUGGCGUGAUUAGAAUACAAGACUGCUAUCUUGCGCUGAGGAAAUGACAGUUCCGAAAUAA